AAAAUUUAAUGCAGAUGGGUGUACAUGUUUAUGCAUUUAUAUUGAGUGUGAUUAAAUGUUACAUUGUUUGUUUAUUACCGGAGAUAUGUUUUUUUAAAAAUGGUCAAAAUGUAUUGUUUCUUUAAAAAUAUUAGACACAUGCUUUGAGACAUUGUUUGAAACCUAUGCUGAUAGUGGGUUCAUUUUGUUUUAACAUGUAAUUUGUUAAAUAAUUUGAUUGAUGGUGAUUAGAGCUAUCACUGUUUUUGGGGGGCUGGUCCUAAAAGCGAGAGAUGAAUAUUUGAAGGUGUAAGUUUAUUUCAUGUAUGAACAAUACCGACUACAGCGGAGUUGAUUUUGUUUUAGUUAAGUAAUCAGUACAGAAUUAGCCACCGCGAGUUUGUUUGCGCGGAUUGAGCUCGAGUCGGUGACGGUUGGAGUCAUCACUAUCUACACUAAUUGCUGAGUGUAAGAGAUUGUCGGCACUGCGAAAGUGGAGGAGGGAGGCCAGAGCCACCGCAUUCAGACGAGGAUAUCGUGGAGUGAAAGUUGGUUUGCGAAGUUGGUCUGAGCAGGCCCAGAAGAGGAGGCACCGACCACCACUGAGAAUUUUUUAACUUGAUGCCAGUGACCAGCCAUAUGAAUAUAUCUUUGUUGAUGAGGCUGGAUUUAACCUCACCAACAGAAGUCAAAGAGGUCAAAACAUUAUUGGACAGCGGGCUAUUGUGGAAGUUCCUGGGCAGGUGGGAGGAAAUGUGACCAUGUGUGCAGCCAUAAGUGAACACGGGGAGCUCCACCACCAUGCCAUUUGUGGCCCUUACAACACAACACAUCUGUUACAUUCCCUUGAUCAUCUUUAUGAAAAUGCUGAGCAAUGACAACAAAAUGAGGCUGGAAGGGCAGAGUUGUCACAAUACAUUUUGAUUUGGGACAAUAUCAGUUUCUACAGAGCUGCAGCUGUACAUAACUGGUUCACUGAUAAUACCGGGUUUUUAAUUUGUUCUUGCCAGCAUACUGUGCCCAUUUCUGAAGCCCAUAGAAGAAUUCUCCUUGGCAUGGCGGUGGAAAGUUUAUGACUGGAAUCCCUAUGCAGCAGGGAAUCUUCUCAGGACUAUGGAGGAAACCUGUGGGGAUAUCACUUUGUGGCGUGACCCAGCCCAGAGACAUGAAGCUGAUGAAUGUCUGUAAUGUACAGUAUUUACAGUAACAUACAUUUAUCAACUUCAUGCACAUUUUCUUUUCUUUUAUGUUUGUUGCAGCCUGGAUAGAACUUUAUUUUUCCCAGUUCAUGAGUUUACAUGCUGUUGAUUUUGGAGCAGUGCAUUUGAGAAAAAUAAAAUAUUUGAAACAUAA